rnacentral:rRNA from 1 species
AGUGAACGCUGGCGGUAGGCCUAACACAUGCAAGUCGAACGGCAGCACAGUAAGAGCUUGCUCUUACGGGUGGCGAGUGGCGGACGGGUGAGGAAUACAUCGGAAUCUACUUUUUCGUGGGGGAUAACGUAGGGAAACUUACGCUAAUACCGCAUACGGCCUACGGGUGAAAGCAGGGGAUCUUCGGACCUUGCGCGAUUGAAUGAGCCGAUGUCGGAUUAGCUAGUUGGCGGGGUAAAGGCCCACCAAGGCGACGAUCCGUAGCUGGUCUGAGAGGAUGAUCAGCCACACUGGAACUGAGACACGGUCCAGACUCCUACGGGAGGCAGCAGUGGGGAAUAUUGGACAAUGGGCGUAAGCCUGAUCCAGCCAUACCGCGUGGGUGAAGAAGGCCUUCGGGUUGUAAAGCCCUUUUGUUGGGAAAGAAAAGCAGCAGGUUAAUACCCCGCUGUUCUGACGGUACCCAAAGAAUAAGCACCGGCUAACUUCGUG